rnacentral:misc_RNA from 1 species
AAAAGUCGUAACAAGGUUUCCGUAGGUGAACCUGCGGAAGGAUCAUUAAAAAAUUGGACUCCAUUGGUGAGUUCAUUAAUAAUCCCUACCCUUUGUGAAUUUGUUUGUUUGAAUAAUUUUUUUUCCAAAAAAAAAUUAUUGAAUGUCUUUCCCUGUUUUGGUGGAGCUUGUAAAGUGAAACCAGGCAGGGGAAUGGCAAACAAUAAUUAUUUUUGAAAAAAGACCUUUUUUUAAAAUUAAACUUUUUGUAUUCAUUUGUCUAAAAUUAUUUUUAUAAUAUAAAAACAACUUUUGACAAUGGAUCUCUUGGUUCUCGCAACGAUGAAGAACGCAGCAAAAUGCGAUAAGUAGUGUGAAUUGCAGAAUACGUGAAUCAUCGAAUCUUCGAACGCAUAUUGCACUUUUUUAGUUUACUAAAAAAGUAUGUCUGUUUGAGUAUCAGUAAAAUAUUCUCAUAAAAAACAUCGUUUUUUUAUGGUUAUGAGUGUUUUACAACGAUAACAAGUUGUUUCACUUUAAAUUCUUUGUUAUCAAAAAAAUCAUUAAAAGCUAAUUUUAAAGAUUUUUUAAAUUGGAUAAAAUUUCCCCGUAAAAAGGAAUAACCUAAACAAUUUUAAAAAAUUAAAAUUGGUUUGAUUUUUUUUGAAACCCAAAGGAAAAAAAAACGAAAUUAACUUGAUCUCAAAUCAGAUAAGAGUACCCGCUGAACUUAAGCAUAUCAAUAAGCGGAGGAAAAGAAACUAACUAGGAUUCCCUCAGUAACGGCGAGUGAAGCGGGAAGAGCUCAAAUUUGAAAUCUUCAAGGUUUUACCUUGACGAAUUGUAGUUUAAAGAAGUGUUUUCUGUUGGAGUUUUGGUAAAAGUUCUUUGGAAAAGGACAUCAUAGGGGUGAGAAUCCCGUAUUUGACCAUUAUCUCCAGCUUUGUGAUACACUUUCAAAGAGUCGGAUUGUUUGGGAAUGCAGUCCAAAAUGGGUGGUAAAUUUCAUCUAAAGCUAAAUACUGGCGAGAGACCGAUAGCGAACAAGUACCGUGAGGGAAAGAUGAAAAGAACUUUGAAAAGAGAGUUAAACAGUACGUGAAAUUGUCAAAAGGGAAGCGUUUGACACCAGUGUUGUUUUCUCGAAAAUCAAUUAAAAAAGGCCGGAUUUUGUGUUGUAUUGACUUUAUCAGCUUUCUGCACUUUUUUCUUGUCUUUUUUAAUGCACUUUUCGUUUAACAAGUCAACAUCAAUUUCUUUUGUUGUAAAAGGGUCAUUGGAAGGAGGCUUUCUUUUCGGAGAAAGUGUUUAUAGCCUUUGGCCUCUGCAAUCGGAGAGAUUGAGGUCUGCAGCGUAGAUCCUUCGGGGUUAGAUACAUUUGUGCUAAGUUAUAGCCUUUCAUAGACAACUUGUUGACUAUGAUCAGUCAUGUAGCUUACUCGCUUAUGCUAUUUUACCUACGCUUAGGAUGUUGAA